UACAGAGGGGGGCAAGCGUUGUUCGGAAUUACUGGGCGUAAAGGGCGCGUAGGCGGCCCGCUAAGUCGAACGUGAAAUCCCCGAGCUCAACUCGGGAACUGCGUCCGAUACUGGUGGGCUUGAAUCCGGGAGAGGGAUGCGGAAUUCCAGGUGUAGCGGUGAAAUGCGUAGAUAUCUGGAGGAACACCGGUGGCGAAGGCGGCAUCCUGGACCGGCAUUGACGCUGAGGCGCGAAAGCUAGGGGAGCAAACGGGG
rnacentral:rRNA from 1 species